rnacentral:rRNA from 1 species
CGGGUGAGUAAUGACUAGGAAUCUGCCUGGUAGUGGGGGACAACGUUUCGAAAGGAACGCUAAUACCGCAUACGUCCUACGGGAGAAAGCAGGGGACCUUCGGGCCUUGCGCUAUCAGAUGAGCCUAGGUCGGAUUAGCUAGUUGGUGAGGUAAUGGCUCACCAAGGCGACGAUCCGUAACUGGUCUGAGAGGAUGAUCAGUCACACUGGAACUGAGACACGGUCCAGACUCCUACGGGAGGCAGCAGAG